rnacentral:rRNA from 1 species
UACCUCUACGGACAUAACAAUAUUUUAAAUAAAUUUAACUUAACUUGUUUUUGGUUGGGGCGACCAAGGGGAAAAACAAAACCCCCUCAUCGAUUAAGCACUAAACAUGCUUAAAAAUUAGAAUGACAAUUCUAAUUAAUAGAAUAUCUACCGAACAAUGACCCAGGAUAACAUAAUCCUGAUCAAUGAACCAAGUUACCCUAGG